rnacentral:rRNA from 1 species
ACUCCUACGGGAGGCAGCAGUGGGAAUAUUGCACAAUGGGCGCAAGCCUGAUGCAGCCAUGCCGCGUGUGUGAAGAAGGCCUUCGGGUUGUAAAGCACUUUCAGUCGUGAGGAAGGUAGUGUAAGUUAACUAGCUGUAUUAUUUGACGUUAGCGACAGAAGAAGCACCGGCUAACUCCGUGCCAGCAGCCGCGGUAAUACGGAGGGUGCGAGCGUUAAUCGGAAUUACUGGGCGUAAAGCGCAUCGCAGGUGGAUUUGUUAAGUCAGAUGUG